UUAAGCGAAUAAGCGUACACGGUGGAUGCCUAGGCAAUCAGAGGCGAUGAAGGACGUGCUAAUCUGCGAAAAGCGUCGGUAAGGUGAUAUGAACCGUUAUACCCGACGAUAUCCGAAUGGGGAAACCCAGUAUCCAAUGGAUACUAUCAUUAACUGAAUCCAUAGGUUAAUGAGGCGAACCGGGAGAACUGAAACAUCUCAGUACCCCGAGGAAAAGAAAUCAACCGAGAUUCCCCUAGUAGCGGCGAGCGAACGGGGAGCAGCCCAGAGUCUUAAUCAAUAGCAGUGUCAGGAGAACGGUCUGGAAAGUCCGGCAGUAAAGGGUGAUAGCCCCGUAUCUGAAGAUGCUGUUAUUGUGAACUCGACGAGUAGGGCGGGACACGUGUUAUCCUGUCUGAAUAUGGGGGGACCAUCCUCCAAGGCUAAAUACUCCUGAUUGACCGAUAGUGAACCAGUACCGUGAGGGAAAGGCGAAAAGAACCCCGGCGAGGGGAGUGAAAAAGAACCUGAAACCGUGUACGUACAAGCAGUAGGAGCCUCUUUAUGGGGUGACUGCGUACCUUUUGUAUAAUGGGUCAGCGACUUAUAUUCUGUAGCAAGGUUAACCGUAUAGGGGAGCCGUAGGGAAACCGAGUCUUAACUGGGCGAAUGAGUUGCAGGGUAUAGACCCGAAACCCGGUGAUCUAUCCAUGGGCAGGUUGAAGGUUGGGUAACACUAACUGGAGGACCGAACCGACUAAUGUUGAAAAAUUAGCGGAUGACUUGUGGAUGGGGGUGAAAGGCCAAUCAAACCGGGAGAUAGCUGGUUCUCCCCGAAAGCUAUUUAGGUAGCGCCUCGUGAACUCAUCUUCGGGGGUAGAGCACUGUUUCGACUAGGGGGUCAUCCCGACUUACCAACUCGAUGCAAACUGCGAAUACCGAAGAAUGUUAUCACGGGAGACACACGGCGGGUGCUAACGUCCGUCGUGAAGAGGGAAACAACCCAGACCGCCAGCUAAGGUCCCAAAGUCAUGGUUAAGUGGGAAACGAAGUGGGAAGGCUCAGACAGCCAGGAUGUUGGCUUAGAAGCAGCCAUCAUUUAAAGAAAGCGUAAUAGCUCACUGGUCGAGUCGGCCCGCGCGGAAGAUGUAACGGGGCUAAACCAUGCACCGAAGCUGCGGCAGCGACACAUAGUGUUGUUGGGUAGGGGAGCGUUCUGUAAGCCUGCGAAGGUGUACUGUGAGGUAUGCUGGAGGUAUCAGAAGUGCGAAUGCUGACAUAAGUAACGAUAAUGCGGGUGAAAAACCCGCACGCCGGAAGACCAAGGGUUCCUGUCCAACGUUAAUCGGGGCAGGGUGAGUCGACCCCUAAGGCGAGGCUGAAAAGCGUAGUCGAUGGGAAACGGGUUAAUAUUCCCGUACUGGUGGUAACUGCGAUGGGGGAACGGAGAAGGCUAGGUUGUCCGGGCGACGGUCGUCCCGGUUCAAGCAGGUAGGCAGAGUGAUUAGGCAAAUCCGGUCACUUAAUGCUGAGAUGUGAUGACGAACCACCAAGGUGGUGAAGCAAUUGAUGCCCCGCUUCCAGGAAAAGCCUCUAAGCUUCAGGUUACCAACAAUCGUACCCCAAACCGACACAGGUGGUCAGGUAGAGAAUACUCAGGCGCUUGAGAGAACUCGGGUGAAGGAACUAGGCAAAAUGGUGCCGUAACUUCGGGAGAAGGCACGCUGGCGGUAGGUAAAGUCCCUUGCGGACGGCGCUGAAGCCAGUCGAAGAUACCAGCUGGCUGCAACUGUUUAUUAAAAACACAGCACUGUGCAAACACGAAAGUGGACGUAUACGGUGUGACGCCUGCCCGGUGCUGGAAGGUUAAUUGAUGGGGUCAGCCGUAAGGCGAAGCUCCUGAUCGAAGCCCCAGUAAACGGCGGCCGUAACUAUAACGGUCCUAAGGUAGCGAAAUUCCUUGUCGGGUAAGUUCCGACCUGCACGAAUGGCGUAAUGAUGGCCAGGCUGUCUCCACCCGAGACUCAGUGAAAUUGAACUCGCUGUGAAGAUGCAGUGUACCCGCGGCAAGACGGAAAGACCCCGUGAACCUUUACUAUAGCUUGACACUGAACAUUGAGCCUUGAUGUGUAGGAUAGGUGGGAGGCUUUGAAGUGUGGACGCCAGUCUGCAUGGAGCCAACCUUGAAAUACCACCCUUUAACGUUUGAUGUUCUAACCUAGGCCCAUAAACUGGGUCGGGGACCGUGUCUGGUGGGUAGUUUGACUGGGGCGGUCUCCUCCUAAAGAGUAACGGAGGAGCACGAAGGUUGGCUAAGCAUGGUCGGACAUCAUGCGGUUAGUGCAAAGGCAUAAGCCAGCUUGACUGCGAGAGUGACGGCUCGAGCAGGUACGAAAGUAGGUCUUAGUGAUCCGGUGGUUCUGAAUGGAAGGGCCAUCGCUCAACGGAUAAAAGGUACUCCGGGGAUAACAGGCUGAUACCGCCCAAGAGUUCAUAUCGACGGCGGUGUUUGGCACCUCGAUGUCGGCUCAUCACAUCCUGGGGCUGAAGUAGGUCCCAAGGGUAUGGCUGUUCGCCAUUUAAAGUGGUACGCGAGCUGGGUUUAGAACGUCGUGAGACAGUUCGGUCCCUAUCUGCCGUGGGCGUUGGAAGAUUGAGAGGGGUUGCUCCUAGUACGAGAGGACCGGAGUGAACGCACCACUGGUGUUCGGGUUGUCAUGCCAAUGGCAUUGCCCGGUAGCUAAGUGCGGAAGAGAUAACCGCUGAAAGCAUCUAAGCGGGAAACUUGCCUCGAGAUGAGUCUUCCCUGU
rnacentral:rRNA from 1 species